rnacentral:rRNA from 1 species
UACGUAGGGUGCAAGCGUUGUCCGGAAUUAUUGGGCGUAAAGAGCUCGUAGGCGGUCUGUUGCGUCGGCUGUGAAAACCCGGGGCUCAACUCCGGGCCUGCAGCCGAUACGGGCAGACUAGAGUUCGGCAGGGGAGACUGGAAUUCCUGGUGUAGCGGUGAAAUGCGUAGAUAUUAGGAAGAACACCGGUGGCGAAAGCGCCUUGCUGGACCUGCACUGACACUGAGGGACGAAAGCUAGGGGAGCGAAAGGG